GGCGACCCGGACCCGGAAGCGCGGCUAAGGAAUUCGCGAGCCGAACCGAAAAAUAAGCGAGAGGUCUGCAAGACCUUCAUUGCGGGUUCGAUUCCCGCCGUCGCCU
rnacentral:tRNA from 1 species